rnacentral:rRNA from 1 species
GACGAACGCUGGCGGCGUGCUUAACACAUGCAAAUCGAACGGAAAGGCCCUGCUUUUGUGGGGUGCUCGAGUGGCGAACGGGUGAGUAACACGUGAGUAACCUGCCCUUGACUUUGGGAUAACUUCAGGAAACUGGGGCUAAUACCGGAUAGGAGCUCCUGCUGCAUGGUGGGGGUUGGAAAGUUUCGGCGGUUGGGGAUGGACUCGCGGCUUAUCAGCUUGUUGGUGGGGUAGUGGCUUACCAAGGCUUUGACGGGUAGCCGGCCUGAGAGGGUGACCGGCCACAUUGGGACUGAGAUACGGCCCAGACUCCUACGGGAGGCAGCAGUGGGGAAUAUUGCACAAUGGGCGGAAGCCUGAUGCAGCAACGCCGCGUGCGGGAUGAUGGCCUUCGGGUUGUAAACCGCUUUCGCCUGUGACGAAGCGUGAGUGACGGUAAUGGGUAAAGAAGCACCGGCUAACUACGUG